AUAAUUAAGCGGAGGAAAAGAAACCAAAUGGGAUUCCCUUAGUAACGGCGAGCGAACAGGGAUGAGCCCAGCGCCAAGUCCUGACACUCGACGUGUUCAGGAGAUGCGGCGUUAAUGUACUGGUGCAUCGCAUGCUGCCUUGUGUCUCAAGUUCCUUGGAACAGGACUCCCAGAGUGGGUGUUAGGCCCAUAGAGGCUGCGAGGCUGGCAUGCGCAGACCAGUGCAUUCUAGAGUCAGGUUGCUUGAGAGUGCAGCCUAAAGUAGGUGGUAAACUCCAUCUAAGGCUAAAUAUUACAGCAAGACCGAUAGCAAACAAGUACCGUGAGGGAAAGUUGCAAAGAACUUUGAAGAGAGAGUUAAAAAGGACGUGAAACCACUGGCAGGUAAACGGGUGGAACCACGAAGUUUGCCCACCGGUCAACUCAAUCAAUGCUCUGUUCUAGCUGUGGUGGUGAUGUUCCUCUUCGGAGGUUGCGCCACCAUUGUUCGCAGGACGGAGCGUUGGUGCAUUUUGUGCCGGUGGUGCUAAUGCCACGUCCGACUAGGUGGUUGGGAUGGCCGUAGUGUGUGACUCGUUGAAGGUGGCAGUCGAGGGCUUGCUCUCGGCUGUGUUAUAGCUUCGAGUCCGGGCCAUCGCCUAACGUGCUGGUCGGUGUAAGUUUUCCAAUUGGAAUCGAGCWUGUAAUGGUUGCGGAUGCUGUAUGGCGUCGCGGUCAUCUUGCAUGGCCGACUUUGUCAUGUCUUUGGGCGUGUAAAGGCGGUUGUGUUUAUAGGUGGUCUAGGCGUUGUCUGCAUGCCGURGCUGUACAAACGGUGGCACGAGUAGGUCGGUCUCCACCCGACCCGUCUUGAAACACGGACCAAGGAGCCUAUCAUGUACGCGAGUCGCUCAGUCUUGAAUAGGCUUGGGAGGCGAAAUGAAAGUAAUGCUACGAGGUUCGUACGAACCGCAGUAGUGGCCCGCCGGCUUCGUUUAUUGGCGAUUUGGCGGAGUUGGAGCGUACACGAUGGUACCCGAAAGAUGGUGAACUAUGCCUGGGCAAGACGAAGCCAGAGGAAACUCUGGUGGAGGUCUGCAGCGGUUCUGACGUGCAAAUCGAUCGUCAGACCUGGGUAUAGGGGCGAAAGACUAAUCGAACCAUCUAGUAGCUGGUUCCAUCCGAAGUUUCCCUCAGGAUAGCAGGCGCUUGUUAGACUCAGUCUCAUCCGGUAAAGCUAAUGAUUAGAGGUCUUGGGAACGAAACGUUCUCAACCUAUUCUCAAACUUUAAAUGGGUGAGAUGCCUGACUUGCUUGAUUGAAGCCAGGCGAUUGGAUGUAUGAGUGCCUAGUGGGCCAGCUUUGGUAAGCAGAACUGGCGCUGUGGGAUGAACCAAACGUCGAGUUAAGGCAUCAAAUGCUCACGCUCAUCAGAUCCCAGAAAAGGUGUUGGUUGCUAUAGACAGCAGGACGGUGGCCAUGGAAGUCGGAACCCGCUAAGGAGUGUGUAACAACUCACCUGCCGAAGCAACUAGCCCUGAAAAUGGACGAUGCUGUAGCGUGGAGCCGAUACUCGACCGUAGGAGCGAUCUAUUGAAGAAUACGAUGUUCUUACGAGUAGGAUGGCCGCAGUGAUAGCGUAGAAGGUGUCGGACGUGAGUCCGCCUGGAGCUGUCACUGAUGCAGAUCUUGGUGGUAGUAGCAAAUACUCAAGUGAGAAUCUUGAGGACUAACGUGGAGAAGGGUUCCAUGUGAACAGCAGUUGAACAUGGGUCAGUCGGUCCUAAGGGAGCAGAGAAAUCUGUUACAACGGCCAUGAUAAAAAGUGAAAACAUGAUACCAUGGACGAUUUCCCGAAAGGGCAUCGGGUUAAUAUUCCCGAACUCAGACACGGAGGUUGCAUCUUCGGAUGCAAAGGCGGUAACGCAAACAAAUUCGGAGACGUCGGCGAUAGUCCUGGGAAGAGUUAUCUUUUCUCUAUAAGGUGUCGACUCCAUGAAAACAGCUUGCCUGGAGAUAUGGAUGUUGACACCGAAGAGCACCACGGUUCUUGUGGUGUCCGGUGCGCUAUUGUCGGCCCUUGAAAAUCCGAAGGCGUGUAAUACCUUUGUGCUGAGCCGUACCCAUAUCCGCAGCAGGUCUCCAAGGUUAACAGCCUCUAGUUUCUAGAAUAAUGUAGGUAAGGGAAGUCGGCAAAACUGAUCCGUAACCUCGGGAUAAGGAUUGGCUCUGAAGGAUGGGUCAGUCGGGCUGUGCUCAGACGUAGGUGUCGCUYCGACGAGGACUGGGAUGCGUAAGCGUCUCGGACCAUGUUGGUGCUUGCCUACAGACGUUCAUGGCUAUGCCCCUUAGCUCCGGCUGAGGGUGUCAUUUCGGCUGGCAAUUAACAUCUGACUCAGAACUGGCACGGACUCCGGGAAUCCGACUGUCUAAUUAAAACAAAGCAUUGCGAUGGCCGGCGAUCGGUGUUGACGCAAUGUGAUUUCUGCCCAGUGGUAUGAAUGUCAAAGUGAAGAGAUUC
rnacentral:rRNA from 1 species